rnacentral:rRNA from 1 species
UACGGAGGAUGCGAGCGUUAUCCGGAUUUAUUGGGUUUAAAGGGUGCGUAGGCGGGCUUUUAAGUCAGCGGUAAAAAUUCGGGGCUCAACCCCGUCCGGCCGUUGAAACUGGGGGCCUUGAGUGGGCGAGAAGAAGGCGGAAUGCGUGGUGUAGCGGUGAAAUGCAUAGAUAUCACGCAGAACUCCGAUUGCGAAGGCAGCAUACCGGCGCCCGACUGACGCUGAGGCUCGAAAGCGUGGAUAGCAAACAGG